rnacentral:rRNA from 1 species
UACGUAGGGAGCAAGCGUUGUCCGGAAUCAUUGGGCGUAAAGCGCGCGUAGGUGGCCUCGUAAGUCCGCUGUGAAAGUCAAAGGCUCAACCUUUGAAAGCCGGUGGAUACUGUGAGGCUAGAGUACGGAAGAGGCGAGUGGAAUUCCCGGUGUAGCGGUGAAAUGCGCAGAUAUCGGGAAGAACACCCGUGGCGAAGGCGGUUCUCUGGGACGGUACUGACGCUGAGACGCGAAAGCGUGGGGAGCAAACAGG